ACGUGAGAAUUUGCCUUUAGGAGGGGGACAACAGUGGGAAACCGCUGCUAAUACCCCAUAUGCUUUCGAGUAAAAUGGAUUUAUCCGCCUAGAGAGAAGCUCGCGGCUGAUUAGCUUGUUGGUAAGGUAAUGGCUUACCAAGGCGACGAUCAGUAUCUGGUUUGAGAGGAUGAUCAGACACACUGGAACUGAGACACGGUCCAGACUCCUACGGGAGGCAGCAGUGGGGAAUUUUCCGCAAUGGGCGAAAGCCUGACGGAGCAAUACCGCGUGAGGGAAGACUGCCUAUGGGUUGUAAAC
rnacentral:rRNA from 1 species